rnacentral:rRNA from 1 species
UACAGAGGUCUCAAGCGUUGUUCGGAUUCAUUGGGCGUAAAGGGUGCGUAGGCGGCGCGGUAAGUCGGGUGUGAAAGCCCCGGGCUCAACCUGGGAAUUGCAUUCGAGACUGCAUUGCUGGAGUACGGAAGAGGAGGGCGGAAUUCCCGGUGUAGCGGUGAAAUGCGUAGAUAUCGGGAGGAACAUCAGUGGCGAAGGCGGCCCUCUGGUCCAGUACUGACACUCAAGUGCGAAAGCGUGGGGAGCAAACAGG